CCGAAAGACAAGUAAGACUGUAUUAAAGAGAGGUUGUCAAGGCAUUCAUUGUAUUGACACAGAAUUACUCAUCAAAGGACAAAGAACAACUCAGGACUGAAAUCCAAGAACAUGUCAAGAAAAUAACGGCACCGUACAAAUAUCCAAGAAAGGUUAAGUUUGUUGAAAGUUUACCCAAGACUGUUAGUGGUAAAAUCCGGCGUAUUCAGCUGCGUAUUGAUGAAUGGAUCAAAUGAAGCCUGUUACUAACGCUCAGAAACCACGACUCUGCCCUGAGGUAGCAAGAACCUCUGUUGACAUUUGCCCUGAGAUUAGUAUCCAAGAAUCGGUAAGCAUUAUACAGUAGCAGUUGCGUACUACAUACCAUAAUUACUGGUAGACUGUUUUCUAUCGUAAAGCCUGUAAGGAGAUAUUUCUGCUCAUACUUUUAUAAUAAUAAUAAUAAUAAUAAUAAUAAUAAUAAUAACAAUAA